AUUGAACGCUGGCGGCAUGCCUUACACAUGCAAGUCGAACGGCAGCGGGGACUUCGGUCCGCCGGCGAGUGGCGAACGGGUGAGUAAUGUAUCGGAACGUACCAUUCAGUGGGGGAUAACUAUCCGAAAGGAUAGCUAAUACCGCAUAUUCUGUGAGCAGGAAAGCAGGGGAUCGCAAGACCUUGCGCUGAUUGAGCGGCCGAUAUCAGAUUAGCUAGUUGGUGAGGUAACGGCUCACCAAGGCUACGAUCUGUAGCGGGUCUGAGAGGAUGAUCCGCCACACUGGGACUGAGACACGGCCCAGACUCCUACGGGAGGCAGCAGUGGGGAAUUUUGGACAAUGGGCGCAAGCCUGAUCCAGCCAUGCCGCGUGAGUGAAGAAGGCCUUCGGGUUGUAAAGCUCUUUCGGCCGGGAAGAAAUCGCAUCAGCUAAUACCUGGUGUGGAUGACGGUACCGGCAUAAGAAGCACCGGCUAACUAUGUGCCAGCCGCCGCGGUAAAAC
rnacentral:rRNA from 1 species